ACAAUGGCUUUUUUUAAAGUCACCUAUGUUUCUCAGUAAGAGUAAU
rfam:Ficedula albicollis isolate OC2 chromosome 3, whole genome shotgun sequence.